GAGGUGAAGUCGAGCGAACAGAAAGGAGCUUGCUUCUUUGACGUUAGCGGCGGACGGUGAUGUACACGUGCGCAACGCUACCUUAUAAGUGCUGGAUAACUCCUUGAAACCCGGGGCUAUAUACCCGAAUAAUCUGUUUACCUCAGUGAAACACUGAAAGACCAGUCUACGCUGUCCGCUUGAGGAUGGGCCCUUGCGAUUAUCUACUCUCGGAAGGUAACCGGCUCACCAGAGCGACGAUUCGUAGCCCACCUGAGAGGUGAUCAUGACACACUUGGACUAUACACGGACCAGACUCCUACCUGGAGGCAGGAACGGAAUCUUCCCAAAUGGGCAAAGCCUGAUAUGGCAACUCGUAGAAGGAGGAAUGAUUCCGGCGUUAAACCUAUCUUGUUAAGGGAAGAACUGGCAAGACAUUUGCUUGUUGCUUUGACGGGCCCUUAUUUGGGAAGCCCUGUUUUUACGUGGCCAAAGGGCAUGGGAAAAACCUUGGGAGGGGAAUUUGGCCCGGAAUAUUUGGCCAAAAGGUUCCCCCCCGUGGGUUGUUUACCCCUUAAAUUAAUUCCCCUGGGAAUCCGGGACGGGUUUUCAAACCGGG
rnacentral:rRNA from 1 species